rnacentral:rRNA from 1 species
CAAAGAUGUUAUCUAGUGGCGGACGGGUGAGUAACGCGUAAGAACCUACCCCAAGGAGGGGGACAACAAUUGGAAACGGUUGCUAAUACCCCAUAAGCUGAGGAGUAAAACGGUAACAACCGCCUAGGGAUGGGCUUGCGUCUGAUUAGCUAGUUGGUGAGGUAAAUGCUUACCAAGGCAACGAUCAGUAGUUGGUCUGAGAGGAUGACCAGCCACACUGGGACUGAGACACGGCCCAG